UACGUAGGGGGCUAGCGUUGUCCGGAAUCAUUGGGCGUAAAGCGCGUGUAGGCGGCCCGGUAAGUCCGCUGUGAAAGUCCAGGGCUCAACCCUGGAAAGCCGGUGGAUACUGUCGGGCUGGAGUCCGGAAGAGGCGAGUGGAAUUCCUGGUGUAGCGGUGAAAUGCGCAGAUAUCAGGAGGAACACCAAUGGCGAAGGCAGCUCGCUGGGACGGUACUGACACUGAGACGCGAAAGCGUGGGGAGCAAACAGG
rnacentral:rRNA from 1 species